AAGAUACUUGUGUCUUUCUCUUUUUGUGCUAUUCAGUGAUGGAAGAAUAACCACUUAUGUUUUCUCUUAUGAAGGUGAUUUGAGAAAAAAUGCAAAAUAUGCUUAAAAGCACUUGAAUUAUCUACGUGCAAAAAAAGGUAAAAUUUUCACUACUUAUGUGGAGUAGGCACCAUCUCAAUUUGAAUGAGCUAAAUUUCAGUAGCAGGUGACUGGAGUAUGCCCUAAAAUCCUCAUGUCAUACAUUAUGGCAUGUUUGUGUUCACUGGCAAGAAUAGAGAUUUAUGGAUUUAUUCAGACUUACUCAAGACAUUAUAGAUGUCUCGCUGAAAAAUCUGUUAGUUUCAUCCAGAUACAGAAGCAGAAUCACCAUAUAAUAUUUUCAUCUAUUAUGUUAUGUGACUCAUUGUGACUGCAGGUACUUGAAUGACCUACAGAAUAAUCAUGGACAUUUGACAUUUAGCUAACAUUUAGACCAUCAACUGAAGAAAUGAAACAGGUAUUUGUUCCAAGGCCAGGUCAGGUUUAGUUAUAACAUUUUUGUUCCUUUUUUGGAUAACCUUUUCAAUCACAUUUCUCAAAAGGCAGCACUGAAAAAAAGCAUAUUCUUAUUUAAGAGACAUACACCACGAUUCUAAUCCAAUGCUGUUUUUUCUUUUUCUUUUAAAAGUCUUUUGGUAUCAGAUAUUAGUUAUUUUUUGGUCAUUAUUACUUUCUUUAAUAUCCAUUUUUUCCAAAAUGUUAAAAAAUCCAGUCAUCUUUAAGUGUAUGAAUUUGCUAGGAAAAUAAUAGAAACACUGAUAAUUUCAGUUGUAUCAGUUGACUAAAAAAAUUGUAUCUAUUAACACAUAUGUUGUUCCUUGUGUGUGUGUCUUGCAGUCCUUCAAGUCUACUGAGAUUGUGUUUCUCCGUAUCAAUAUAUUUUUCUUCCAUAUAAUCAAUGAGAAGUAAUUUGGCAGUUAAUUGCUGAUUAUCCUGUCCUUUCUGAAGGUGAUUCUGUUAUCAUCUUUGAUUUGGAAGACCAAGAGACUGUCCUAUACCUGCUCUUUUAUUUUGAUCAUCUUAAUCUUAAAGCCAAAAUCACUGAAAAGUGAGAAGAGAUGGGGUUAAAAUACAGCAACAAAAAUAAAUAUGUUUUUCAUUUUGUACAGUGAGAGGAUUACCAAUGAGGGCGAUGAUUGUGUAUCUCUGCUGAUGAGAAAUGACCUACUGCUGAGGAGAGAACAUUCUGGCAGGAAACAGAAAGCAGACACAUAAUUCACAAACCAGACAGUGAGAGAGAAGUCUCAGAAUAAAAAUAAGCACAGACAUAUGUACGGAUGGCAGAGUGUGGCCCUGGAGACUGUCGCCCCUGUGGGAAGGGCAGUGGUGUUGAGGUUCUGAGCACAUUUUAUCUGCAGACACUAAAGAGCACCAUUAAAUGGGAAAGAAUGUUCGGCUGUAGAAAAAUAAUGUAAUUGGUUCCAGGAAGAAAAAUUAAGGGAGGUGAUUUAAAAUGUGAAAUAUAGCUUUAGUUUCUCCUCAUGCAUACUUAAUAAAAUUUGGACUUCAUUUGGCAUUUACGG
ensembl:lincRNA